UACGGAGGAUCCAAGCGUUAUCCGGAUUUAUUGGGUUUAAAGGGUGCGUAGGCGGCCCGGUAAGUUAGAUGUGAAAGCCCGUGGCUCAACCACGGAACUGCCUCUAAUACUGCUGGGCUAGAGAAUAGUUGCUGUUGGCGGAAUGUGUAGUGUAGCGGUGAAAUGCUUAGAUAUUACACAGAACACCGAUUGCGAAGGCAGCUGACAAAGCUAUUUCUGACGCUGAGGCACGAAAGCGUGGGGAGCAAACAGG
rnacentral:rRNA from 1 species